rnacentral:lncRNA from 1 species
AAUAAUCAGUUCAAUAAUCUCCCAACCUCAUGAUAAUACUCGAGUAUAUCGAAACAUUUGCCCAAAGCUGCCGUUCUACCCGACCAAGCCCUUUGCUGGCUCGAAUAGUCCAUUGAAUAGAGGGUUUUCGGGCCCAAUUCAGCCAAUGUGAUAAAAUACACACACGGCUUACAGUCAUGCACACUUACAAUAUCACUUGAUCAAUUAUCAACCUUCAAACUCAACUAAGGCGAGUGCGAUAAAGUACACCCUCGGCUUAGAAGGCAAGGGACAAUUGAGAUACACUUUGCAAUGAAUCACUUAGCAAUAUUUCAUAAUAAGCACAUUUAUCACAUAAUUUCACUUAAGUAACAUAAACAGUUAAACAUAUAAAUUCGGAAACACUCACCGUAAUCAAAAAUUACACUUCGAUCUCGGAAUUGCUUUCUUGCACACCUCUAUCUCCUAAGACAAGUUAUAAUAGCCAUAAUCAUUUAACUACUCAUUUGGUGAGGUUCUAAAGUAUAAUCAACAUACGUGUUGUAUUCUAGCCUUAAGUCACCAUUCCAGCUGAAUUCUCAGCUAUUGCUUUGUUUAAAUGAGGCGACUAGUGCAUUUCUUACAUUCACUCGUCACUUCGACUUUUAGUUUUCAAAAGAGAGGAAGUUUAAGUGGCAAUUCCAGUAUUGUGACUUCAGUACUUUUAUACUGCUAGAUUUAUCGUACUAAAACUCAACAUUAACCUUUAAUAAGGUAAAUUUUAGAAAUAACUACCUUUAAGGUACUUUAUUGUCCUAUAAAUCUCUUUUACUUACUUAUGAUCAUGAGUAAAACUAGUUUAUUACCUUGACAGUGAACAUACAAUGCUUAUAAAGCCGUUUGAAUCAUGUUUUAUUUGUAUAUCUUUUCAUAUAAGUUUUAUAGCCUUUUAGAUCCCUAUAGUUGAUAUAACAACUGUUCUCAUCCAUUUAUCCAUUUAUCUUUAUGUCCGACUGCUAAUUACUCACCAAUUUAAGGUUUAAAUUACUAGAACUCAAGUCCCUUAGCUUGUCACACAAGAUGCAACAAUUCCAGCAACCUUCCUCACAUUUCUCUUCAAGAUUCAUCAAAUUUAUCAACUCAAACAAGGGAAAUAUUCAUGUAUACCAAAUUUAAGGUCUUGUAAGGUGUUUAAACUAAGGUUAAACUAUUUUCAUGCCAAAUUUAAAGAUUAAGGUUAGUGAACUUUUCAUUUCUUUCCUUUUAAGCUAAACCAGAUUCUAGUUUGCUUGUUGUUUAAAUUUGCUCCAAUUCACCAGCUUUUCAAGUGUUAAAAUCAAUAAGAUGUACAUGAAAACUAGGACAAGAUGUUAUAAGAUGUUUUACUUAAGAUUACAGCCAAUUAUCAUGGAAUUUUCGAAAUUAACAUGAGAGUUUCAGCCUUCACCCUCUCUCGGCCAGCAAAACAGAUUUUCCAGCAACAUUACUCCAAAAUUUUCAACAAGGUUUCCAUCCUUUGCUUGCUUUAAACACUAAACACUUAACAUACAUUCUGUCCAAUAUGAAAUGAAUCAUAUAACAGGUAAUUGCAGCAAAUUAUUCCACCAAGAAGUCCCCAUAAAUCUGUCAUCAGCUAACAUAUAAUCUUCCAGCAAUUUGACAGUUUAAAUGUGAAACUUUCUCCACAAAUUCUUCAUUUUUCCACUCCAGCUCAACAUGCAGAGUGUAGUUAUCAUGCUACGGUGUAUCUUGUGCAACAAUAUGAAAUUUACAGCCAAAGAUUCAAAGGGAAAGCUGGAUAAAAUUUUGUUUCCUUCUCUCGGCCAUGCUGAAAAAUUUCAGCAGCUUUCUUUCAACAUUUCAAGCCAAAUCUAUCAACAUUUUUACUAGUUCCAUAAAUAGAUAUCCUAUAAGAUCAGAGAUGAACCUAUUUCAUGCAUUCCUAGCAUAAUUCUCCAAAGGAAAUUCUGGUAACAAGCUGCAAUUCCAGGUCCACUCUCUCGGCCAUCACAGAGUUUUCUUGUAGCUCUUAAUCAGUCAUUAAACAGAAUUUUUCCUCAGCCAAAACUCAUUUUUCCUAGCUAAAACUUAACAUGCAGCUUAAGUAUUCAGUUAUACUAGAUAAUUAAAAGAUUGUUGCAGCAUUUUACCUGCCUUUUUCUAACAAUCGAAGCUGGAAAAGAAGAAACCCGCAGGCAGACUCCUUCCUCCUUCGUUUCCUCAUGAUGAAAGCUCCAAGUUCCCCUUUUUUCUACCUUACUCUCUAACUCAUUCGGUUGACUGGAAGGAAAGAAUGGAUUCAGAGAGCUCCCUCACUCUCACUCUUUCUCUCGGUUUUGGGUAUGGAAAAGGAAGAAAGCUUAGUACUCUGUUAUCUCUAUUUGUUUGCUCUCGGUUGAAGUCCAAAAUGGCAGAGCACUUCCUUUCCCUUGGUCAUUACUUAACUCAGCAAAUGUUCCACCGCCCAAACUGUCAGACAAUUUCUACUCCUUUUCCUUUCCACCGCUUGAUCUAUUAGAGGCUUGCAUUCGGUUCCUAUCACAACAAAUCUUACUUUCUCUAGGUUUUGUUUCUGAAUUCUGAUAGUUUGUGUGAUGGCUGCAUAGUAGUUAGUCUUGAAGUUUGAGGUCGGUUUGGUCUUUUUGUUGUAGUUUAUUUGCUCACCAAGGCCUAAAAUUUUAUAAUUUCAUGCAUGGACUCCUAACUUCGUUUGUAUUUUAGUGAAUAGUUUUCUUACAUUGAUUUUGACACAUUUAACUUUAAGAAAAACUUAUUAGACAUGUACUUGUUAAACUUUUAGUGUAUGUUACGUGUCUAGUAAUAUUUGCAAAUAACAUAAUUUACGAUAUGCACGUCAUCUAUUUAUUUAAUUCGUAAAAUUUUUCUAUACCAUUCUAGGAUAUUUCCUAAAUUCUCAAUUUUAUAAAAAUUCAAUUAGGCAUUUAAUUUAACCACUUAUUCGUUAUAUGUUAUAUUUUCAAUAUCAAGGUAAAUAAAAUAAAAUAAAUGCAAAUUACACGUAAUUUUUCAAGUUCUCACAUUACCUGUGACAGCCCGGUCUCCUCCUAGGGCAUACCCUAGAAGUUAGUGGACCGCCCGCCUGACUCUCACCAGGACUUAUUCACUAACAUUAACUUCAAAAAUAACAAUUCUCAUUAAUCAUCCAAACAUCCAUUCUUAAUACUUCUUAGUAAGACAAAAGCUUUAUCCACUACAAAUUACAAAAGUGAAUCAUCCAAACGUUCAUUCUUAAGUACAUCACCAACUUGUGUGAAAUAUAAAUCUAUCCGUUAAGAGAUACAAAAUGCAGGUCUUAACAUCAAUAUAUAACAUUAGACCUCCCAAAACACUCUAACUCUACUUGAUCAUCCUUCAGACUUCAACCCCUGUAAGGAAAACAAAACUAAAGGGCUGAGCUAAAGCUCAGUGAGGUUCGCCGAGCAAGUUACAUUUAAUAAACACUUAAAUCAGUACAAUUAAGCAAGUAGUACACAUUUCACUAUACAAUCACUUUCAUUAAAUAAUUGAGGAAACACUUCACUAAAUAAUCACUUUUAAAAGGAUACGGUGCUUGCAUUAGAGCCACUUCAAUGUCAUUAAGCAUUCAUUUCUGUGUCAAGAGACACUCAUUUCACUGUCAUUGUACAUUUAUUUCAAUAUCAUUGGACAUUCCGCCAAUUCACCUCCUUAUGUCAUCUAAAACAAUAAACAAUCCACUACAUUCAAUAAUCAGUUCAAUAAUCUCCCAACCUCAUGGUAAUACUCAAGUAUAUCGAAACAUUUACCCAAAGCUACCGUCCUACCCGACCAAGCCCUUUGCUGGCUUGAAUAGUCCGUUGAACAGAGGGUUUUGGGGCCCAGUUCAGCCGAUGCGGCGAGGCAUACAUACGGCUUACAUUCAUACACACUUACAGUAACAUUCAGUCAAUUAUCGACCUUCAAGCUCAACUAAAUCGAGUGCAAUAAAGUACACUCUCGACUUAGAAGGCAAGGGAUAAUUGAGAUACACUUUACAAGGAAUCAUUUAGUAAUAAUUCAUAAUAAGCACAUUUGUCACAUAAUUUCACUGAGAUACACAUAAACAGUUAAACACAUAAAUUCGGAAAACACUCCCAAAUUAUCCAAAUAAUUUACUCUCCAGUCUCGGGUUUGUUUCCUGACUCGCAGCUACUUCCUGAGAUAAAUAUAUAAUUCCAUGGUAAAUUUAUAAUUUGUAGAUGUUCACCAAUUAUUUAAAUCAUUCGAAUUAGGUUUGAGUUUAAAAUAUAAAAUAUAACAUAUUCAACAUUUAUUCUACCUUAUUGUUUAAACUAUUAAAAUCAAGUCUGACCUUAAAAUACAAAAUAUACGCAAUAUUUAUUCCCCAAUUUAUUUCGAGACUUAUUGACUUUAUUAUCUUAAAUCAAGAAACAUACAUACUUUCCAAAUUAAUUAUAUAUAAAAGGUUUACAUUAGGAUUAAAACAUUUGUCAGGAUCAAGCGCUUACCAUUGCACCAAAAGCUAUAGCUGUUAGUGAAGGCGCAACUUUAUUUCCUUAACCACAAUGGCAGUGCAAAGCACCGUACCACGCUCGGCCAGCAUGAGGGUCUGCACCCCUGGGUGCCACGGGCUGGGCGGUUAGUCCCGUCGAACCGGGAUCUGAGGGAUGUUGCUGAUUAGGCCAACAAUCCCUCCCCCAGCAACAGCCAGGGAGAUUCGAACCCGCGACCUCGCUCUGAUACCACUUGUCAGGAUCAAGCGCUUACCAUUGCACCAAAAGCUAUAGCUGUUAGUGAAGGCGCAACUUUAUUUCCUUAACCACAAUGGCAGCGCAAAGCACCGUACCACGCUCGGCCAGCAUGAGGGUCUGCACCCCUGGGUGCCACGGGUUGGGCGGUUAGUCCCGUCGAACCGGGAUCUGAGGGAUGUUGCUGAUUAGGCCAACAACAUUUUCUACUCAAGAUUCUAAGUUUAAAACUUAGGAAUAUUCCAUUGGUUCCCUUUUUAAAUUAGUUAAACUCUAAGUUAUUUGUAAAUUAAAUUUUAUUCCACUACACUCAUCCCUCAAAUUUAUAGGUUUUAACAUAUGUGUUAAGACAAUAUUAAGUGAUUAGAAGCCAAUUUAGGUAUAUAACUAUCAUGAGUUUUCUUCUCAUUUGCUUUAAUUUAACUCUACUCGUGGAACUAGAUAUAGUCGUUAAAUCUCAGAGCAACCUUAGCUAUCAUUUAUGAAAGCUUACAGGGUUGGAAAUUAGAUGAAAUGCUGUUCAAAAAUAGGUUUCCUCACUGCCAGCAUCAAGUAGAAUGCAUUCGGAAAAACAAGAGAGAGGCAACGACAAAGGCAACUUUGCCAAUCUCUGGUGUUUUGAUCAUAAUUGGAGCUACACUUAUGGGUUUGAGGCAAAUUUUAUAGCGUCAACGUUUCUUAUGAAAGCAUCGACACCCAGUUCUCACAUUUUCAGGGUAAAAAAUGGCCGGACAAAAGCACAUUCUGCUUCACUCCCUCGGCCAACCAACCUGCACUCAUUUCUACUUUAGUAUUUAGUUGAGUUUCUACUGGUUCCAAUCUUCCUUGUUGAGGUUUAAGGUCCGUAUGACAUGUUACAUUUACUACACAGGUUUAGAAGUUAAAGUUUAUAGAGGAUCACCAAAGUUUCUUUCUUCUCCCCCCCUCGGUUGCAGCAAAUACUUUUUCCAGUAAAACAGUGGCUUAUCUUUUGACAUUUUCUCGCCUUUACUUCCUCAGUUUCUGGUCUCAAUCACUUAUGCAGAGGACACUCAAUCUACUGCAGGUUAUCCUAUGCUAAGCAGAGUCGUUCAUGACCAAAAUUCAGAGGAAAGAUGGGCUAAAUCCCGUGCCUGAGUUUAGCAGCAAAACCUGAUGCAUGGCAGCAUGCAUCAGACUCCAUCGAAUUCAGUUUUAUGUCCCAACUGAACGUAUAGAGGGUAAUGACUUAGCUAAAAAUUAUCCUAAAGAAAGGAUGACAGUUUAUGAUCAGAAUUCACGAGAAUACUGAAGAAAUAUCUGUUGCAUGCACUUCUUAAUGUUAUCAUCCCAAGAAAAAUUUGAUAACAGUUGCAGGUUCAGGCUUUAAUCUCAGUUUUCUGCAAUUUCCCUUUUCCUGCAAUUUUACAGUUGCUGCCCGACAUUUACUUCAGCCACAAGCUCAAAUUCAUAGCUAAAUUCGACAUGCAGCUGGUGUUUAUCCAAUUAUACCAACUAAACAGCGAGUUGUUAUAAAAUCUUACCUGUUCCCCUUAAAGUUCGAUGUUGCAGGCUGCUCAAGUUUCGGUUUCAGCUCCUCAAUUCCUAGCACUCGAUUCUCCCGUUCCUUGCAGUCCCUUCCUCAGCACUGGCUAAUUGAUUAUGAUGCUUACCUAAGUUGUAACUGGUUUCUCUUAACCUUGCUCUCUCUCUCUUUUCUCACUCACUCGAGUCUGUUUUUGAAAGAAAGUAAGAAAGGACGACAGCUUUGGUUUUGCUCUCAGCCACCGCCAAUUUUUGUUUCUUUACGCUGUUCUCAUUCGGUUCUUGCUUAUUCAGCAAUUUGGUGAUGCAUUCCCUCCUGACAGCUGUCUCAAUUCACCUCCCAAUCUCAGUU